UAGGGAAUUUUCCGCAAUGGGCGAAAGCCUGACGGAGCAACGCCGCGUGCAGGAGGAAGGCCUUCGGGUCGUAAACUGCUUUUAUCUGUGAUGAAUUUGACAGUAACAGAAGAAUAAGGACCUGCUAACUACGUGCCAGCAGCCGCGGUCAUACGUAGGGUCCAAGCGUUAUCCGGAAUUACUGGGCGUAAAGAGUUGCGUAGGUGGCAUAGUAAGCAAAUAGUGAAAGCGUGAGGCUCAACCUCAUAUCCAUUAUUUGAACUACUAAGCUAGAGCAUGAGAGAGGUAGAUGGAAUUUCUAGUGUAGGAGUGAAAUCCGUAGAUAUUAGAAGGAACACCGAUGGCGUAGGCAGUCUACUGGCUCAUUGCUGACACUAAGGCACGAAAGCGUGGGGAGCGAACGGGAUUAGAUACCCCCGUAGUCC
rnacentral:rRNA from 1 species